AACGAACGCUGGCGGCAUGCCUAACACAUGCAAGUCGAACGAGACCUUCGGGUCUAGUGGCGCACGGGUGCGUAACGCGUGGGAAUCUGCCCUUCGGUUGGGAAUAACUGAGAGAAAUUUCAGCUAAUACCUUAUAAUGUCUUCGGACCAAAGAUUUAUCGCCGAGGGAUGAGCCCGCGUAGAAUUAGGUAGUUGGUGGGGUAAUGGCCUACCAAGCCGACGAUCCUUAGCUGGUCUGAGAGGAUGAUCAGCCACAUUGGGACUGAGACUCGGUCCAGUGUCCUACCGGAAAACACAGUGGAGAAUAUUGGACAAUCAGUGGUUACUUGGUCAAUCUGUGCAUCCUGAGUCAUGAAGGCUUUAGGGUUAUAAAGCACAUUAACCCGGGAUGAUAAUAACAUUACCGGGAGAAUAACCUCCGUGUAACUCCGUGACAGCAGCCGCGGUAA
rnacentral:rRNA from 1 species